GUGUAGCGGCUGCCUCUGUGGCGGCGACGGAGCUCGCAGCUGCGGCUUCUGAAGAGUAAGUGGCGUGGUAGCGAAGGCCGCCGAACCCGCCUGGCUAGCCGGCGAACCUUUUGAAACAGAUGGUCACCAUGUUUGGAUAUUAGCAGUCCCGUAUGUGCAUGUCUGCGUUUGAAAAUGGCAGAGGGAAACAGCAAUGAAGAGGUGAUUCACUUGAACAACUUUCACUGCCAUCGGGGACAAGACUUUGUAAUUUUCUUCUGGAAAACCCAGAUUAUCCAAAGAGAGAAGAUAGAAUCAUCAUAAACCCCAGUAGCAGUCUGCUGGCCAGCCAGGAUGAGACAAAG